rnacentral:rRNA from 1 species
GACGAACGCUGGCGGCGUGCCUAAUACAUGCAAGUCGAGCGGGGUUAGAGAAGCUUGCUUCUCUAACUUAGCGGCGGACGGGUGAGUAACACGUGGGCAAUCUGCCCGUAAGACUGGGAUAACUCCGGGAAACCGGGGCUAAUACCGGAUAAUCCUGACUCUCUCCUGAGAGUCAGUUGAAAGAUGGUUUCGGCUAUCACUUACGGAUGAGCCCGCGGCGCAUUAGCUAGUUGGUAGGGUAAUGGCCUACCAAGGCGACGAUGCGUAGCCGACCUGAGAGGGUGAUCGGCCACACUGGGACUGAGACACGGCCCAGACUCCUACGGGAGGCAGCAGUAGGGAAUCUUCCACAAUGGACGAAAGUCUGAUGGAGCAACGCCGCGUGAGUGAAGAAGGUUUUCGGAUCGUAAAACUCUGUUGUAAGGGAAGAACACGUACGAGAGUAACUGCUCGUACCUUGACGGUACCUUAUUAGAAAGCCACGGCUAACUACGUG